GUAUAUAUAUAUAUUUGUACAUAUUCUAAAAUUGGAAUGACAUACAGAAGAUUAGCAUGGCCCCCUGCACAAGGAUGACAUGCAAAUUCGCGAAGAGCUCCAUAUUUUU